GUCCACGCCGUAAACGAUGGAUACUAGCUGUUGGGAGCAAUCUCAGUGGCUAAGCGAAAGUGAUAAGUAUCCCACCUGGGGAGUACGAACGCAAGUUUGAAACUCAAAGGAAUUGACGGGGGCCCGCACAAGCGGUGGAGCAUGUGGUUUAAUUCGAUGAUACGCGAGGAACCUUACCAAGGCUUAAAUGUAGAUUGACCGGUUUGGAAACAGACUUUUCGCAAGACAAUUUACAAGGUGCUGCAUGGUUGUCGU
rnacentral:rRNA from 1 species